GGUGCUCGAGUUGUAAUUUGUAGAGUGGAUCCUUGGGGCCGUUCCUUGCCUAUGUUCCUUGGAACAGGACGUCAUGGAGGGUGAGAACCCCGUGUGGCGAGGGGCGCGGCUCCGUGUAAGGGCUGCUCGAAGAGUCGAGUUGUUUGGGAAUGCAGCUCUAAGUGGGUGGUAAAUUCCAUCUAAAGCUAAAUACAGGCGAGAGACCGAUAGCGAACAAGUACAGUGAUGGAAAGAUGAAAAGAACUUUGAAAAGAGAGUGAAAAAGUACGUGAAAUUGUUGAAAGGGAAGGGCAUUUGAUCAGACAUGGUGUUUUGCGCCCCCUGCUCCUUGUGGGCGGGGGAUCCUCGCAGCUCACUGGGCCAGCAUCA
rnacentral:rRNA from 1 species